rnacentral:rRNA from 1 species
AUGGCUGCAAGGGGCAAGGCCGGUAAAACCAAGAAAGUGGCCGUUGCUGGCGGUAAGGACUGCUUUCAGGACCUCCCGGAACCUGUGCUCGAGCUUCUGCUGUCGUUCCUGCCCUCGCGUGACGCCGUGAGGACGUCCGUGCUCGCUCGCCGCUGGCGCACCCUCUCGAAGUCGGUGCCAGCCCUGCGCUUCUAUCCUUCUCAGUUCGACACUGUCCAGGCCUUCAACAAUUUUGUUAAUACAUUGCUUGAGCACCGUGACAGAACAUCCCCUCUUCAUGAAUGCGACAUCUUUCCCUAUCCCCAUGGCCAAGAAGAUGAGGCACGCCGUUAUGUUGAAUCGUGGGUCCAGUAUGCUGUCUCGUGCCAAGUAUACGUGCUUCGAGUCAAAGACUGGAGUGUGAGUGUUUAUGGUUCUCGUUUGAAUCUAUCCAGCAGCAGUGUAAUCUCCAAGCACUUGACAAGGCUAGAGUUUUAUCAUCUGGCAUUUGACAGAAGCCCUCUAGAUCUUCUCAGCUGUCAGGCACUAGAGCUGUUAGACAUAGGUGAUUGUUCUAUCAAGCUUUGGGGUGUCUUCCCCAAAUCUUUACGGCAUCUGAAAAUCAGAGAUUCAAGUCUUUAUUCCAUGCAAACACCAUGGAGCUGCUUUUCUGCUCCAGGUCUUCUUACCUUUGAACUAGCUGACCCUCAUGACUGGGCCCUGUUUCUUGAGAGCCUGCCAUCGCUGGUAACAUCAUUUAUCAGGAUUGGCGAAGAUUGUGAAGAUAAUUAUGCUCAUUAUAAUUACCUUGGGGAUAGUGGUAACGAGUUAUGCGAAGAUAAUUGUUGUGUAUUUCUCGAAGGGUUGGCGGGUGCUACAAAUUUAGAGCUGAUAAGUGAAUAUUGUAUGAUUUUCAGAAAGGACUUGAAAUGGUGCCCUAUGUUUAGCAAGCUAAAAACACUGUUGCCCAAUGAAUGGUGUUUGACUGCAAACUUCACUGGACUACUUCACUUUCUUCAGCACACACCAAUUCUAGAAAAGCUUACCCUUCAACUUCCAUCUCGCAAGGAUUUUGACAUUGUAUCAAGUAGAAGCUACAACCCAGCGGAAUAUUUCUUGGUGUCAAAGCAUCUCAAGGAAGUUGAAAUCCAUUGUAGCAAGGAGGAUGAAUGGAUUUGUCAAAUUGUGAAAAUCCUUGGCAUUCAUGGAGUAACUUCUGCACAGAUUAGCAUCAAACAUGAUUCUUGGAGUUCUUUCAGGUUCAGUUUCCAGCAGCCAAAGUAG